UACAUGUGGGGCAAGCGUUGUUCGGAAUUACUGGGCAUAAAGGGUGCGUAGGUGGCUUGUUAAGUCAGGGGUGAAAGUUUUCAGCCCAACCGGAAAAUGGCCUUUGAUACUGGCGAGCUCGAGUGCGUGAGGGGUAACCGGAACGAGCAGUGUAGCGGUGAAAUGCGUAGAUAUUGCUCGGAAGGCCAACGGCGAAGGCAGGUUACUGGUACGCAACUGACACUGAGGCACGAAAGCGUGGGGAGCAAACAGG
rnacentral:rRNA from 1 species